rfam:Salmo salar isolate Sally breed double haploid chromosome ssa21, whole genome shotgun sequence.
UUGUGGUACUUUUGUAAGUCGCUCUGGAUAAGAGCGUCUGCUAAAUGACUUAAA